UGUGUGUGUGUUUGUGUGUGUGUGUGUGUGUGUGUAUACACACACACACACACACGCAUACACACACACAUA